ACUGGUGAUGGGAAUGUGUUAUAAACCAAAAUUAUGUUUAAUCUAAAUCAGUACAAUGGAGGUAAUUU
rnacentral:snoRNA from 14 species